rnacentral:rRNA from 1 species
AGUGAACGCUGGCGGUAGGCCUAACACAUGCAAGUCGAACGGCAGCACAGUAAGAGCUUGCUCUUACGGGUGGCGAGUGGCGGACGGGUGAGGAAUACAUCGGAAUCUACUUUUUCGUGGGGGAUAACGUAGGGAAACUUACGCUAAUACCGCAUACGACCUACGGGUGAAAGCAGGGGAUCUUCGGACCUUGCGCGAUUGAAUGAGCCGAUGUCGGAUUAGCUAGUUGGCGGGGUAAAGGCCCACCAAGGCGACGAUCCGUAGCUGGUCUGAGAGGAUGAUCAGCCACACUGGAACUGAGACACGGGCCAGACUACUACGGGAGGCAGCAGUGGGGAAUAGUGGACAAUGGGCGCAAGCCUGAUCCAGCCAUACCGCGUGGGUGAAGAAGGCCUUCGGGUUGUAAAGCCAUGUUGUUGGGAAAGAAAAGCAGCAGGGGAAUACCCCGCGGUUCUGACGGUACCCAAAGAAUAAGCAACGGCUAACUUCGUG